rnacentral:rRNA from 1 species
GAUGAACGCUAGCGACAGGCCUAACACAUGCAAGUCGAGGGGCAGCAUGAAAUUAGCUUGCUAAUUUUGAUGGCGACCGGCGCACGGGUGAGUAACACGUAUGCAACCUGCCUGUAAGCGGGGGAUAACCCGGAGAAAUUCGGACUAAUACCGCAUAAUAUCAUUGAUUCGCAUGUUUUAAUGAUUAAAAAUUUAUUGCUUACAGCUGGGCAUGCGUAUGAUUAGCUAGUUGGCGGGGUAACGGCCCACCAAGGCGACGAUCAUUAGGGGUUCUGAGAGGAAGGUCCCCCGCACUGGAACUGAGACACGGUCCAGACUCCUACGGGAGGCAGCAGUGAGGAAUAUUGGUCAAUGGUCGGAAGACUGAACCAGCCAAGUAGCGUGAAGGAUGAAGGUUCUAUGGAUUGUAAACUUCUUUUAUACGGGAAUAAAACCUCCCACGUGUGGGAGCUUGUAUGUACCGUAUGAAUAAGCAUCGGCUAACUCCGUGCCAGCCGCCGCCGUAAGAC